rnacentral:rRNA from 1 species
AGUUCGGAACGGUGAACAGGAAUGCAGCUUGCUAGCUUCGCUGACGAGUGGCGGACGGGUGAGUAAUGUGCUGGGAAACUGCCUGAUGGAGGGGGAUGAACUACUGGAAACGGUAGCUAAUACCGCAUGAACGUCGCAAGACCAAAGAGGGGGACCUUCGGGCCUCUUGCCAUCGGAUGUGCCCAGAUGGGAUUAGCUAGUAGGUGGGGUAACGGCUCACCUAGGCGACGAUCCUCUAGCUGGUCUGAGAGGAUGACCAGCCACACUGGCAACUGAGACACGGUCCAGACUCCUACGGGCAUGCAGCAGUACGGACCGGGGGCGUACGUGCUGAGCNUAGGGCGGGGCACACACGCCGGGGGCCCACGCGCGGAGCGCG